ACUAAAAACAAAAAAUCACUUUACCAUUCUCAAUUUCUGUUACCUUCCUUUCUCAUCUCUGUUACUUUCUUUACAUGGUAUUAGAGCUCACAUCCAUGGCCAAUUCCCUCACCCCCACCUCUUCGUUCUCAUCCCAAUUUGUUCCGAUUUCCUUCAAUCACUCAAUCUCCAUAAAACUUGAUCAGAAUAAUUUUCUGAUUUGGUGUCAACAAGUUGAAGCUACAAUCAAGGGUUACAAGCUCUCAAAGUUCAUCAAUGGAAUUGAUACCGUUCCUCCAAAAUUUCUUUCUUCCACAUAUGAAACAAGUGGUAAAAUCAAUCAAGAUUUCUCUGAUUGGGAACAACAAGACCAACUACUAGUCUCUUGGCUCCUUUCAUCAAUGUCCAAAGGGCUUUUAACAAGAAUGGUUGGAUGUGUAACUUCUUUUCAGAUUUGGGAGAAAUUGGAGGUUUUCUUUGCUGCUCAAACUCGUACCAAGAUUGAUCAGUUCAAGAUGCAACUCAAGAGCUCUCAGAAAGGUUCAUCAUCCAUGAAUGAUUAUCUCUUGUGAAUCAAAAGCAUGGUUGAUAGCCUAUUAUCAGUUGGCUAUUCUAUCUCUACAAUCAAGGGUUACAAGCUCUCAAAGUUCAUCAAUGGAAUUGAUACCGUUCCUCCAAAAUUUCUUUCUUCCACAUAUGAAACAAGUGGUAAAAUCAAUCAAGAUUUCUCUGAUUGGGAACAACAAGACCAACUACUAGUCUCUUGGCUCCUUUCAUCAAUGUCCAAAGGGCUUUUAACAAGAAUGGUUGGAUGUGUAACUUCUUUUCAGAUUUGGGAGAAAUUGGAGGUUUUCUUUGCUGCUCAAACUCGUACCAAGAUUGAUCAGUUCAAGAUGCAACUCAAGAGCUCUCAGAAAGGUUCAUCAUCCAUGAAUGAUUAUCUCUUGUGAAUCAAAAGCAUGGUUGAUAGCCUAUUAUCAGUUGGCUAUUCUAUCUCUACUUCAGAUCAUAUUGACGCAAUUUUUGAAGGAUUACCCUCAGAGCAUGACACUUUGAUUACUGUUGUUACCACACGCACAAAUUCAUAUACUGUUGAUGAAAUAGAGUAUGUUCUUUUGGCUCAAGAAAGGUGCAUUGAAAAAGGCUACUAAAGCUUUAGAUUCUAAUUUGAGUACUAACUUAGCAACUCAGAGCCAAAAUAACAAAGACAAGAAAAUGUCUAAUAAUUCUUUUGAAAAUGGCUUUUCUACUUUUGAUCAAGGAAAUUUUCGUGGUCUCAAUAAUUUUCCUAGUAGAGGAGGUUCUAGUAGUCGUGGAUUCAAUACAUUUAGAGGUUCUAGUAGACGAGGUCGUGGAGGCUUCAAUGGUGGUCAAAAUUAUUGGAAUUUCAAUAAACCUCAAUGCCAAUUGUGUGGUCAUGUUGGUCAUUUAGUGCAACAAUGUUACUACAGAUUUGAUCCAUCAUUUCAGGUCCCAUUUUCAUUUCAGAAUGGAUUUCAUUCUGCUCAAGAUUCAUCACAAAUGACUACCAUGGUUGCUACUACUCCUGAAUUUGCCUAUGACUCUGGCUGGUACCUAGAUUUUGGAGCUACAAAUCAUAUCACACCAGACAUUCAUAAUCUGAUGAAUAAAACUGAAUUUGCUGUGCAAGAUAAGAUCAUGAUGGGUAAUGGAACAGGUUUGAAUAUUAAACAUAUUGGAUAAUCAUCUUUUCAAUCUCAAUUUACUUGGAAAUUGUUCUUUUUAAAUCAUUUUCUUCAUGUUCCUUUUAUUACCAAAAAUUUGCUCAGUGUCUCUAAAUUUGCCAAAGAUAAUGCUGUGUAUUUUGAGUUCUUUCCUAACUUUUGUUAUGUCAAAGAUCAGGCUUCCAAGGAAAUUCUCAUGGCAGGGAGAGUUAAGAAUGGACUUUAUGUAUUUGAUGAUUUCACACUUCUGCCUUCAGCAAAGCCACUGUUAGUUCCAUCUUCUACAACCUCUUGGAAAAGGUUCUGCAAAGAAAGGUUUUCAGUCCAACAUGUGCCUUCCAUUAAUCAAGUAGCAGAUGUCUUGACUUAAGCUGUCUCAAGCACUCAAUUUGUAAAUCUAAUAAACAAACUCAAAGUAGAAAAUCUUUCUACCUUAAGUUUGAGGGAGAAUGUUGAGAGAUAAUUUCAUAUGGUUACAAGAUGUACAUGUGUCAUAUGCUCAUUGGUUUUAUUCUAUUAUUGUUGGAUGGAUUGUUAGAGAA